CCCUCUUACAAAGGCGCACUUGCAUUGGUCUGCUUGCACGUGCGUAAGAACUGGAGGAAUAUUAAGUGAAUGUUGAUCUCUCUAUGGCUUCCUGCUCUAGCGGUCAAGCCAAUCAGCACUCUUACAUAU
ensembl:snoRNA